AGUUGCCAGCAUCGGUUGGGCACUCUAGAGGGACUGCCGGCGACAAGUCGGAGGAAGGUGGGGAUGACGUCAAAUCAUCAUGCCCCUUAUGACCUGGGCUACACACGUGCUACAAUGGGCGGUACAAAGGGCUGCGAACCCGCGAGGGGGAGCGAAUCCCAAAAAGCCGCUCUCAGUUCGGAUUGCAGGCUGCAACUCGCCUGCAUGAAGCCGGAAUCGCUAGUAAUCGCGGAUCAGCAUGCCGCGGUGAAUACGUUCCCGGGCCUU
rnacentral:rRNA from 1 species